GCUUAAUAUCUAGCCCCACCCUGAUAUAUGACUAUACCCCAACUUUCUCCCCCCUCCUAAAACAUUUUCUUGAUUUAGUAAAGGCGAUUAAAAAAUUUCUCGGAGCAAUAAAUUCAGUACCGCAAGGGAAAGAUGAAAUAAAAAUGAAAAAAAUUUGCAAGCCUAAAAAAGCAGAGCUUAAUUCUUGUACCUUUUGCAUCAUGGUUUAACUAGUCUUACCAAGCAAAAAGACUUUUUAGUUUGAACUCCCGAAUCUAGGCGAGCUAUUUUAGGACAGUUUUGUGAACGAACCCGUCUCUGUUGCAAAAGAGUGGGAAGAUCCUAGAAUAGCGGUGACAGACCUAACGAGCCUAGUGAUAGCUGGUUGCUCCAGACAAGGAUUUUAGUCCUGCUUAAACCUUAAUGAUUUUUCUAAAAAUCUGUUUAAAGUCACUCAAAUAAGGUACAGCCUAUUUGAAAAAGGAUACAACCUUUAUUACUGGGUCCAUACACUUAAUUUAUGGAUAAGUAGGCCUAAAAGCAGCCAUCUUAAACAAAAGCGUCAAAGCUUACACAUAAACUUAGCUAAUCCCUAUCCCCCCAUUCACCCCUUAUCCCCCCAUAGAGCAACUCUAUAUUUAUAUAGAAAAUUUAAUGUUAAAACUAGUAAUAAGAAGUAGACCCUUCUCUUUAACGCAAGUUUAUGUCAGCCAGGACACCCCGCUGACAAUUAACGCCUCUAAUAUCUAAGUUGAAACAAACAAGAAAACUCUCCUACUAUUAGCGUCCACCUAACACCAGAGCGUUACAAGAAAGAUUAAAAGAAAAAGAAGGAAUUCGGCAAAUAUUAGUCCCGCCUGUUUACCAAAAACAUCGCCUCCUGCAUAACAAAUAGGAGGUCCAGCCUGCCCAGUGACACUGUUCAACGGCCGCGGUAUCCUAACCGUGCGAAGGUAGCGUAAUCACUUGUUCUUUAAUUGAGGACUAGUAUGAAUGGCCCCACGAGGACUACACUGUCUCCUUUCUCUAAUCAAUGAAACUGAUCUCCCCGUGAAGAAGCGGGGAUAAACCUAUAAGACGAGAAGACCCUAUGGAGCUUUAAACAACAGAAAUACUUGCUUCUUUCCUACCAUUUUCUGAAAACUAAAUUAAUUCAAGCAUUUUAUCUCCCAGUUUUAGGUUGGGGUGACCACGGAGAAAAAAUAAACCUCCAUGUUGAAAGAAGCCUUCCACCUUCUAAGCAAAAAGACACAACUUUAUGCAUCAACACAUUGACUCCCAUUGACCCAAUAAUUUGAUCAACGAACCAAGUUACCCUAGGGAUAACAGCGCAAUCUACUUUGAGAGCUCAUAUCGACAAGUAGGUUUACGACCUCGAUGUUGGAUCAGGGUGUCCAAGUGGUGCAGCCGCUACUAAUGGUUCGUUUGUUCAACGAUUAAAACCCUACGUGAUCUGAGUUCAGACCGGAGUAAUCCAGGUCAGUUUCUAUCUAUAAAGAGGCUUUUCUAGUACGAAAGGACCGAAAAACCGCGGCCAAUAUACCUCUAAGCCGUAAA
rnacentral:rRNA from 1 species